UGCGUAGGUGGCAAGCGUUGUCCGGAUUUAUUGGGCGUAAAGAGCGUGUAGGCGGCCAGACAGGUCCGUUGUGAAAACUAGAGGCUUAACCUCUAGACGUCGAUGGAAACCGUCUGGCUAGAGUCCGGAAGAGGAGAAUGGAAUUCCUGGUGUAGCGGUGAAAUGCGCAGAUAUCAGGAAGAACACCCGUGGCUAAGGCGGUUCUCUAGUACGGUACUGACGCUGAGACGCGAAAGCGUGGGGAGCGAACAGG
rnacentral:rRNA from 1 species